rnacentral:tRNA from 10 species
GCCCGGGUGGUGAAAUCGGUAGACACAAGGGAUUUAAAAUCCCUCGCUCGUAAGGGUGUGCCGGUUCAAGUCCGGCUUCGGGCACCA